UAAUACGAAGGUGGCAAGCGUUACUCGGAAUUACUAGGCGUAAAGGGCAGGUAGGUGGUUUUGUAAGUCUAUUGUGAAAGCUCCUGGCUUAACUGGGAGAGGUCAAUGGAUACUGCAGGACUUGAGUAUGGGAGAGGUUACUGGAAUUCCCGGUGUAGCGGUGAAAUGCGCAGAUAUCGGGAGGAACACCAAUGGCGAAAGCAGGUAACUGGACCAUUACUGACACUCAACUGCGAAAGCUAGGGGAGCAAACAGGAUUAGAUACCCUGGUAGUCCUAGCCGUAAACGAUGCACAUUAGACGUGAGGGGUAUCGACCCCCUUCGUGUCGACGCUAACGCAUUAAAUGUGCCGCCUGGGGAGUACGGCCGCAAGGUUGAAACUCAAAGGAAUUGACGGGGGCCCGCACAAGCGGUGGAGCAUGUGGUUUAAUUCGACGCAACGCGAAGAACCUUACCUGGGCUUGAACUGUUGGAAGUAGAAUUAAUGAAAGUUGAGACGACCUGUUAAGUCAGGAACCAAUAGA
rnacentral:rRNA from 1 species